UAUGAGAGGACGCGGUUAAAUCAGGUUGGAAUCAAAGUGGAGGUUAGCCGUUUGGACUAGCUGCAUGAGUCAGAUAGGAUAAAGUGGAUUCAAUGAGUCAAUUCACGUGUAGCUACACCUAUGAUACUUCCAUGAUUUGCAGUGAGGAAAAUAGUAAAAUUACAGGGGAUGCGGUGCGAGUAUCCUUGUCGGCGAAUAUUGACCGUCUCCAGGAUGCCCGUGUAGCGCAGCUGCACCAUCACUCUCUCCUUGCUGAAGCACAGCGCCCGCCUGUCGUCGUUGGGCUUGAUGCAGCGCACAAAGUGCGGUUGACCUACCACCAUCUUUGACAGCAAGUCCAUCAGCGAGAAAAAGGAACCUACACGGAAAUAGGAGGCCACGGUCUGUCUCCUCAUGUUGGUGGUUUCGUCUGGGUGACGCAUCAUCUCCAUGGUGUCAACCUGAACACAAACCUUCACAGUGAGCACUGCGCAUUGACGAG